rnacentral:rRNA from 1 species
ACAGGGAUUGCCUCAGUAACGGCGAGUGAAGCGGCAACAGCUCAAAUUUGAAAUCUGGCUCUUUCAGGGUCCGUAGUUGUAAUUUGUAGAAGAUGCUUUGGGUGUGGCUCCGGUCUAAGUUCCUUGGAACAGGACGUCAUAGAGGGUGAGAAUCCCGUACGUGACUGGGUGCCUUCGCUCGUGUAAAGCUCUUUCGACGAGUCGAGUUGUUUGGGAAUGCAGCUCAAAAUGGGUGGUAAAUUUCAUCUAAAGCUAAAUAUUGGCCAGAGACCGAUAGCGCACAAGUAGAGUGAUCGAAAGAUGAAAAGCACUUUGGAAAGAGAGUUAAACAGUACGUGAAAUUGUUGAAAGGGAAGCGCUUGCAACCAGACUUGCAUGCUGUUGAUCAUCCGAGAUUUUUCCCGGUGCACUCGGCAGUAUUCAGGCCAGCAUCGGUUUCGGUGGGCGGAUAAAGGCCUUGGGAAUGUAGCUUCUUUCGGGGAGUGUUAUAGCCCUCGGUGCAAUGCGCCCUACCGGGACCGAGGACCGCGCUUCGGCUAGGAUGCUGGCGUAAUGGUUGUAAGCGACCCGUCUUGAAACACGGACCAAGGAGUCUAACAUCUAUGCGAGUGUUUGGGUGUCAAACCCAUACGCGUAAUGAAAGUGAACGGAGGUGAGAACCCUUAAGGGUGCAUCAUCGACCGAUCCUGAUGUCUUCGGAUGGAUUUGAGUAAGAGCAUAGCUGUUGGGACCCGAAAGAUGGUGAACUAUGCCUGAAUAGGGUGAAGCCAGAGGAAACUCUGGUGGAGGCUCGCAGCGGUUCUGACGUGCAAAUCGAUCGUCAAAUUUGGGUAUAGGGGCGAAAGACUAAUCGACCAUCUAGUAGCU